rnacentral:rRNA from 1 species
GCUCUGCGCGCACCGGCGGACGGCUCAGUAACACGUCGGUAACCUACCCUCGGGAGGGGGAUAACCCCGGGAAACUGGGGCUAAUCCCCCAUAGGCCUGGGGUACUGGAAGGUCCUCAGGCCGAAAGGGUCUCUGACCGCCCGAGGAUGGGCCGGCGGCCGAUUAGGUAGUUGGUGGGGUAACGGCCCACCAAGCCGAAGAUCGGUACGGGCCAUGAGAGUGG